UUAGCUGUGUUUUAUGGUAUAGUGAUAACAGGCUGUGCUUUCGUCGUCAAAUACUUUGGUGCAUUGGUAUUACAGGUAGAUGUCGUUCAUUUGGUUGUAGUGAAAUUAAUACAUUUUCUGCCAUAGAACACAAUUACCACAUUGGUCAGGUCUGGGAACUUACCGCCAGUAAGUGACUGAUAAUGAUACAAUACCCCCAAGGAAUGCUAUAUAAAAAGUCCCCGCUUGAGAACGGAUAUAUCAAAUGUCAUUCUCUCAAAUUGGUGACUCCAAAGACGUAGGGGGUGGGAGUAUGGCUGUAGCUCCCAGUCAGAUUUUAUUAGUCGGGCAGAUUCUACUUAAAAUCGGG